AACGCAUAUUGCACUCUCUGGUAUUCCGGGGAGUAUGCCUGUUUGAGGGUCAGUAAAUAAUAAUUAUCAUAAUCUUUUGAUUGUGGAAUUGGGCCUUUAUUUCAUUUUUUAAUGAUUUAUGGCCUUAAAUUUAUGUUACCGCUUGUUUAAUAUGAAAUUCGACCGAAUGGAGCAAUUAAACAUUCUCUCGUUAGGCGGAUUCAUCAAGCAAUUACGAUUUUUUGGCCGUCGAAGCACUUUUUUUAAAAGUGCUUGGUCAAGAUUGUAAGAUACAUUUAACAAUGACCUCAAAUCAGGCAAGAAUACCCGCUGAACUUAA
rnacentral:misc_RNA from 1 species